CAUGCCAUCAGAUGUGCCCAGAUGGGAUUAGCUAGUAGGUGGGGUAACGGCUCACCUAGGCGACGAUCCCUAGCUGGUCUGAGAGGAUGACCAGCACACUGGAACUGAGACACGGUCCAGACUCCUACGGGAGGCAGCAGUGGGGAAUAUUGCACAAUGGGCGCAAGCCUGAUGCAGCCAUGCCGCGUGUGUGAAGAAGGCCUUCGGGUUGUAAAGCACUUUCAGCGGGGAGGAAGGCGGUGAGGUUAAUAACCUCAUCGAUUGACGUUACCCGCAGAAGAAGCACCGGCUAACUCCGUGCCAGCAGCCGCGGUAAUACGGAGGGUGCAAGCGUUAAUCGGAAUUACUGGGCGUAAAGCGCACGCAGGCGGUCUGUCAAGUCGGAUGUGAAAUCCCCGGGCUCAACCUGGGAACUGCAUUCGAAACUGGCAGGCUAGAGUCUUGUAGAGGGGGGUAGAAUUCCAGGUGUAGCGGUGAAAUGCGUAGAGAUCUGGAGGAAUACCGGUGGCGAAGGCGGCCCCCUGGACAAAGACUGACGCUCAGGUGCGAAAGCGUGGGGAGCAAACAGGAUUAGAUACCCUGGUAGUCCACGCCGUAAACGAUGUCGAUUUGGAGGUUGUGCCCUUGAGGCGUGGCUUCCGGAGCUAACGCGUUAAAUCGACCGCCUGGGGAGUACGGCCGCAAGGUUAAAACUCAAAUGAAUUGACGGGGGCCCGCACAAGCGGUGGAGCAUGUGGUUUAAUUCGAUGCAACGCGAAGAACCUUACCUGGUCUUGACAUCCACAGAACUUUCCAGAGAUGGAUUGGUGCCUUCGGGAACUGUGAGACAGGUGCUGCAUGGCUGUCGUCAGCUCGUGUUGUGAAAUGUUGGGUUAAGUCCCGCAACGAGCGCAACCCUUAUCCUUUGUUGCCAGCGGUCCGGCCGGGAACUCAAAGGAGACUGCCAGUGAUAAACUGGAGGAAGGUGGGGAUGACGUCAAGUCAUCAUGGCCCUUACGACCAGGGCUACACACGUGCUACAAUGGCAUAUACAAAGAGAAGCGACCUCGCGAGAGCAAGCGGACCUCAUAAAGUAUGUCGUAGUCCGGAUUGGAGUCUGCAACUCGACUCCAUGAAGUCGGAAUCGCUAGUAAUCGUAGAUCAGAAUGCUACGGUGAAUACGUUCCCGGGCCUUGUACACACCGCCCGUCACACCAUGGGAGUGGGUUGCAAAAGAAGUAGGUAGCUUAACCUUCGGGAGGGCGCUUACCACUUUGUGAUUCAUGACUGGGGUGAAGUCGUAACAAGGUAACCGUAGGGGAACCUGCGGUUGGAUCACCUCCUUA
rnacentral:rRNA from 1 species